ACAUUAAUGCAAAUUAAGCUUAGAAUUGGUAUAAAAGAUUCCCGCCAGGGUGGGUCAGGUAUAGUUUUGUCGUACAAAGCAAGCUUACAAGAUGUUCAAAUACUUUGCUUUAUUUGCACUCCUCUUCGUGUUAGCCGCCGCCGCACCCGAGCCUGAAGCCAAACCAGUGUACCCAUAUUCUCAUCAUUAUACCCAUCAUGGAGUUCACCCAUACGCCUAUGGUCAUCAGCAUUACGUUCAUCCGUACCACGCUGGUUACUAUGGACAUCACCAUGGCCAUUUUGGACACUACUACUAAUCUCCACACUGUUUCGGCUUAAACAUCUUUCCAAUUCCAAUACAAAUUUGUACAUGUAAAUAAAGAAGCUUUUAACAACAAUCA